AUGUACUCUUCUACCUGAGCUGACUUUGAACCCUGAUCUCCAGAUCUCAGCCUUCUGAGUAGCUAGAAUUGCAGUCAUGAGCCACCAGCACCCAGCUAAAAUCCUUCUCUUUGCUUAGAAUGUUUUUAUGGAAUAGAAUUAUUCAAGGACUUACUAUUAAUCUGUUUACCAAUGGUGCCAAAUAUAAGUGGCUUUGAAAAAUCUGAUCCAGAUUAUGUUGGUUUCCAAAUUGCAUUGUUCUCAAUUGACUACUCACUGGGAUCACUUGGCUAAUUAAAAAAAAAAAAGUCCAAUGGCUAUACCAAACACUAGAGUAAACCAUAGUCUCUUGUAAUCCACAGUUAUUUAUAUUGCAAGAAUUCUCUAAGAGACUCCCUGAUGUAGGCAAGGUUGAAAAGCACUGUUUUCAGAUGUUUUUUGAGAUUGAGAUCUUUUUGAGACUGAGAUCUG